CUAMCAUGCAGUCGGACGGUAGCACAGAGAGCUUGCUCUCGGGUGACGAGUGGCGGACGGGUGAGUMAUGUSUGGGAARCUGCCKGAUGGAGGGGGAUARCUACUGGAAACGGYWGCUAAUACCGCAUAACGUCUUCGGACCRAAGUGGGGGACCUUCGGGCCUCACACCAUCGGAKGUGCCCAGAUGGGAUUAGCUAGUAGGUGGGGUAAUGGCUCACCUAGGCGACGAUCCCUAGCUGGUCUGAGAGGAUGACCAGCCACACUGGAACUGAGACACGGUCCAGACUCCUACGGGAGGCAGCAGUGGGGAAUAUUGCACARUGGGCGCAAGCCUGAUGCAGCCAUGCCGCGUGUAUGAAGAAGGCCUUCGGGUUGUAAAGUACUUUCAGCGGGGAGGAAGGCGAURAGGUUAAUAACCUUGUCGAUUGACGUUACCCGCAGAAGAAGCACCGGCUAACUCCGUGCCAGCAGCCGCGGUAAUACGGAGGGUGCAAGCGUUAAUCGGAAUUACUGGGCGUAAAGCGCACGCAGGCGGUCUGUCAAGUCAGAUGUGAAAUCCCCGGGCUUAACCUGGGAACUGCAUUUGUAACUGWCAGGCUAGAGUCUUGUAKAGCGGGGUAGAAUUCCAWGUGUAGCGGUGCAAUGCGUAGAGAUCUGAGGAGUACCGGUGGCGAAGCGGU
rnacentral:rRNA from 1 species